UACGAAGGGUGCAAACGUUGCUCGGAAUUAUUGGGCGUAAAGCGCGUGUAGGCGGAUUCGCAAGUCAGAUGUGAAAUCCCCCGGGCUCAACCUGGGAACUGCAUUUGAAACUGCGAGUCUUGAGUGCCGGAGAGGGUAGUGGAAUUCCUGGUGUAGAGGUGAAAUUCGUAGAUAUCAGGAGGAACACCGGUGGCGAAGGCGGAUCUCUGGGCCAUUACUGACGCUGAGGAGCGAAAGCGUGGGGAGCGAACAGG
rnacentral:rRNA from 1 species